UGGCCACCAUCCCGUCUGGGAAGUGAGGA
rnacentral:piRNA from 1 species